GAACCGAGCGAACGUUGUUCGGAAUCACUGGGCUUAAAGGGCGCGUAGGCGGGCGGGCAAGUCCGGGGUGAAAGCAUACGGCUCAACCGUAUCAGUGCCUUGGAUACUGCCUGUCUCGAGGGAGGUAGGGGCGUGCGGAACUUCCGGUGGAGCGGUGAAAUGCGUAGAUAUCGGAAGGAACACCGGUGGCGAAAGCGGCGCGCUGGGCCUCUUCUGACGCUGAGGCGCGAAAGCCAGGGGAGCAAACGGGAUUAGAUACCCCGGUAGUCCUGGCCCUAAACGAUGGGCACUAGGUUGUGGGCUGAACAUGGGCUCACAGCCGAAGCAAAAGUGUUAAGUGCCCCGCCUGGGGAGUAUGGUCGCAAGGCUGAA
rnacentral:rRNA from 1 species